rnacentral:sRNA from 12 species
CCCUUGGAGCGUUAUACCAAACAAAAGUAGUUAGUUGAGUUAUUUUAACGACAAAAUUGGACGUGUUGAAUAGGGAA